GAGGGGGAACGAAGGAACAGAAGGGAGAAAGGAGGGAGAGAGAGAGAGCCACGACGGGGGAGAAGAGAAGAGGGGAAGGAGACGCGCCGGCGCUGCUGGGUGUCGCCGCCACCGUCGCAUCCUUGCCAAGCCUUGGAGGGAGACCCCGCCGUUAAGCCACGUCACCGUCGAACUCGUCCAAUCACGCCACCGUGCUCUGCCCUGUCUCGCGUCGCCACUGUGCCAUGCGUCACCGCCGUUCACACUGUCAGUUUUGCGCAGGGGAAACCAUGGCCGUCGAGGGUCCAUCCACGCCGUAGCUGAAGCUUGAACGCCGCUGCAACCACCGUGUGUUACCGUCUUCAGAUCCGCCGACGUUGGAGUCGCGAACAGAGAUCGCGCGCAAGGGAAAUUGUUGCGAAGCUACCGUCGCCACCGCGUUGCUGGGCUCACUAUCGUUCUGCCCGCGCAGCAGCUGUGUUGUCCGAGCUCCUCGCCGCCGCUGCUGGCGCUGGAAACCGCCUUCCAAGCCUGUGUUUGUUGGUUAUACGAUCACCGCGAGUUUCUCUGCCGCCAUCCAAGCUGCUACCAGAAGGAUCCACCACAGCCUCCUCUGUUCUUGUCUUCGAAUCAGCACUGCCCUUUUCCAGUUUCAACCCCAAUUCUGCUAUUUUUGAAU